rnacentral:rRNA from 1 species
GACGAACGCUGGCGGCGUGCUUAACACAUGCAAGUCGAACGGAAAGGCCCUGCUUUUGUGGGGUGCUCGAGUGGCGAACGGGUGAGUAACACGUGAGUAACCUGCCCUUGACUUUGGGAUAACUUCAGGAAACUGGGGCUAAUACCGGAUAGGAGCUCCUGCUGCAUGGUGGGGGUUGGAAAGUUUCGGCGGUUGGGGAUGGACUCGCGGCUUAUCAGCUUGUUGGUGGGGUAGUGGCUUACCAAGGCUUUGACGGGUAGCCGGCCUGAGAGGGUGACCGGCCACAUUGGGACUGAGAUACGGCCCAGACUCCUACGGGAGGCAGGAGUGGGGAAUAGUGCACAAUGGGCGGAAGCCUGAUGCAGCAACGCCGCGUGGGGGAUGACGGCCUUCGGGUUGUAAACCGCUUUCGCCUGUGACGAGGCGUGAGUGACGGUAAUGGGUAAAGAAGCACCGGCUAACUACGUG